UACGUAGGGUGCAAGCGUUUAAUCGGAAUUACUGGGCGUAAAGCGUGCGCAGGCGGCGCCGCAAGUCAGGCGUGAAAUCCCCCGAGCUCAACUUGGGAAUUGCGCUUGAAACUACGGUGCUGGAGUAUGGCAGAGGGAGGUGGAAUUCCACGUGUAGCGGUGAAAUGCGUAGAGAUGUGGAGGAACACCGAUGGCGAAGGCAGCCUCCUGGGCCAAUACUGACGCUCGAUGCACGAAAGCGUGGGGAGCAAACAGG
rnacentral:rRNA from 1 species